rnacentral:rRNA from 1 species
UACGGAGGGUGCGAGCGUUGUCCGGAAUCACUGGGCGUAAAGGGCGCGUAGGCGGCUUGUUACGUAGGGUGUGAAAUCCUGCGGCUUAACCGCAGGGCUGCCUUCUAAACUGUCAGGCUCGAGCACAGUAGAGGCAGGUGGAAUUCCCGGUGUAGCGGUGGAAUGCGUAGAGAUCGGGAAGAACACCAGUGGCGAAGGCGGCCUGCUGGGCUGUUGCUGACGCUGAGGCGCGACAGCGUGGGGAGCAAACAGG